UAAAAAUAGCCCCCCUGGUGACAGAGCUGGGGUGCCAUCCCGGGAGGCGGCAGGCCUCAGGUUGACAUGGCAGCGGUGGGGAGAGAUCUCCAGGAAGUUCUCCUGCAUAUCUAGCUUCAGUCCAUCUUGCUGCAAAGAAAACAACAGCAAUUUUCUUGGCAUUUCAAAGAAGAACAAAAAGGAAGAGAAUGGGCAGGAUAUAAAGAAGACUUUGGAGAGGGAGAAGAUGCCGCUGGAACUGAGGGGAGAGGAACAGCUGCAGGACUGGGGACAUGGGAGACAGAGGGGCAAGAGUACUA